rnacentral:rRNA from 1 species
UACGAAGGGGGCUAGCGUUGCUCGGAAUCACUGGGCGUAAAGGGUGCGUAGGCGGGUCUUUAAGUCGGGGGUGAAAUCCUGGAGCUCAACUCCAGAACUGCCCUCGAUACUGUCGUGACUCGAGUCCGGUAGGGGAGUGUGGAAUUCCCGGUGUAGCGGUGAAAUGCGCAGAGAUCGGGAGGAACACCCGUAGCGAAGGCGGCACUCUGGGCCGGUACUGACGCUGAGGAGCGAAAGCGUGGGGAGCAAACAGG